CUGGACUCACAGAUGAAGCAGAGAUUCAAGUCCAGAGAUGCAAACAGAAGGUGAAGCAGUUUCUUACUCGCAGGUUUACCAAAAGAAGCAUCACCAUCCGAGAGGACAAUUACUUUCCCACACAGGGCCAAGUCGGUGAGGUGUGGGCCGAGAUCAGCAGGGAGCUGAGUGUGGACGGCGUGAGGCCAGUUAGCCCCGAUCGGGAGGCUCUGAGCAACAUCUGUAAGACUGCAGAGGACACCGCAAGGAGGCUCAUGGAG